rnacentral:lncRNA from 1 species
UUUCAAUACAAAUUUCAUAACAUAAAAGUCAACUGGCUAAUGUCAUUACAUGGCCCCAAAAUACAGAUCCUAGAAAGAACAAGAGACUAACACCUAGGAUCUAGUAAAGAUCAUGACUGGAUGGAUCGGAGUCAUCAGAGAUAGGAUGAGGAGAUGAUGGAUCUCGACCAGAAGAACGUCCUCUACCCCAUCUGCCUCUGGCACGAGCAGGUGAGCGAGAUGAACUAGGAGGCUGAGAACGCUGCGAGGCCAAAGACUGGACUGAAAGAGUGAGUCUGAUGGAAUCAAGAACGUUCAGUGCUCUGAAAACAGACUGAAGUAGAGCAGUGAACU